AAUUUAAUGUUUGUAGAAAGCCACUGGGGAACUGAUAUGAUGCCAUGACAUAAAGUGCAGAAAUGACAUCCACUUCACCUUGCCUCACAUAAUUUGACAACUGCGCCCUUCCCACUGCUCUGUUUCCAAGAGCAGCUUGUGCAUAGAUAUCAAUUGGCUAAAGCUUGGUAAAACACAGCAGGAAAGAUGGAUGCAUCAUUAAGAUUUUUCCCCCUUAAGCUUUUCAUCCAUCCACCAAUAAAAGAUGGUGGCAUUCAUCAGUUUUAAAGAAUUAAAAGCCAAUUAAAAUAACUAUGCCUUGUUUUCCACUCACAGUGAAAGCAGUAUUCAGUGAGAAACCAGAAAAGUAAAAUGCAAAGUUUCAACAAUUUUCUGAUUUCAACAUGGUUUGGUUCCUUUAUCAGUGUGCUGCGUGGUCUUUCUACACAAUAUUCCAGGGUUGUGUAACUUCUGGAACUCCAGGAGUGAGUAACAUCCCAAUGUGGGGUCAUAUGGCACUUGCUUCGAUAGAAGAGGUUGCUAAUUAAGCAAUAACAAUUAAGGCGCUGGGCAUUUCCUGCAGACUAAUGACCAACUAGGAGGAGCUGUGCCAAGGGCCAUUAACCCCAGACAGUCACUCACUGCGAUGGAACAGAUUUCUUUGAAGAAUAUUAAUGUUUGAAAAUAACAAGGACAAUUCUGGAGAUAAUAUAAAUGUAAACAGGAAUGACUCAAAUUAAGUAGAUUGUGAUGGUUUGUGUAGUAAACUCCAGGCCUCUUCUGUAUUCUGGGUAAGGGAGGAAAAUGGAUAGCAGGAAAAUGGAUAGCAAGAAAAUGGUACAUCAAAGAAUAUUAAAUGCCAUUAUGUUCUCAAGCUUCUCUAAACUGCUCUCUUCACACCUGCCUCCUUGAAUGUUUGC